UACGUAGGGUGCGAGCGUUGUCCGGAAUUAUUGGGCGUAAAGGGCUCGUAGGCGGCCAACUAAGUCAGACGUGAAAUCCCCAGGCUCAACCUGGGAACUGCGUCUGAUACUGGAUGGCUUGAAUUCGGGAGAGGGAUGCAGAAUUCCAGGUGUAGCGGUGAAAUGCGUAGAUAUCUGGAGGAAUACCGGUGGCGAAGGCGGCAUCCUGGACCGAUAUUGACGCUGAUGAGCGAAAGCUAGGGGAGCAAACGGG
rnacentral:rRNA from 1 species